rnacentral:tRNA from 1 species
GCUGAUGUAGCUCAGUGGUAGAGCACUUGCUUGGUAAGCAAGAGGUCGGCAGUUCAAUCCUGCUCAUCAGCUCCA